UGUAACUAUCAUCGAAUUUCAGAAUGAUCCCUAACCACCGUCACCAAAAAUCUGGGUUGCCGGCAUCGUUUUUGAACCCUAGAUCUGAACAAACUUAAGCCGAUCUGAACUGGGUGUCGCCGGUGUUUGUAGAGGUCCGAACUGUUUUUGAGAGGGUGUCUUAGGGUAUCGACAACAGGUCAACAGAAGUGGGUGCAUCGAUGGUGGGGGUGUCGACAAAAUCAAUCAGUGGAGGCUCGACGGUUGAGAGAGGAGUCUGAAUUUUUUUGGAGUAAAUAAAGUUCUUAACUUCAAUUUUGCCUACACAGUGGGUGCAUCAUUAAGGAAGUCAGAUACAUAUAAGUUUUCAAAACCUUCUCAACUUCAAUUUUGCCUACACAGAUGACUAUAUUAGUCUUUGCUUAUCAAAAUGUUUGUAAGGGAACCUUGAAGUUCCUAGGAGUUGCGGGCAUCGAAGGAAAUUAUCAGAUUUAGUUAUUUAAGCAACUGUGAAGAUGAACAAGAUUUUCGUCUUGCUGUCUUAAUUUUUUCGCCGAAGCAAGCUACUCGCCGAGAGAGAUGGCUGUGGUGGUGGUAGGUGUUACAAAUGAGGGAUGAUUUUUAUUGUAAUAUAUUUAUUUAAUGCGCAAAAUCACUAAAGUACCCUCAUGUGCCUUGCAUAUUGCUGGAUUAAACUGAAAAUUAUAAUCUGGUUAGGGUUAAAGGACGUAGAGUGUAAUGAGUUUUCCAAAUAAAGGACUGUGACUGUAAUUAUUGAAGUUAAAGGCUAUUCAUUGCAACCCACUACAAACAUAAAGGACGAAAAGUGUAACUUACCCUUCUCUAUAUAUAUCUAUGUAAAGAGAAAAAAGAUAUGUGUGAAUAUUUAGUCCGGUUUUAAUAUCAUAUUUUUAUCUAUAUUCAUGUAAUUUAAUUAAAACAUAAAUUUACCUUAUCAAAAAUAUUGAAAUAACCUUUCACAUCUAAUUCCUUAUAUGUAUCUAUAUUUAAUUAAAUAAUACCCUUUUAAUCAAUAUUACCUUUCUUUUUCUCUCUCCUACUCACAAAAAAAUUUAUAAAAGAUUAAUUGUGAGUUAGUAAUAUAUGGAUUAAUUGAAGCUUAAUAUUUUGUAAUGCGGAAUAAAGAUAAGGCUUAUGAUCUAGAAGUAGAAAUGAACAUUUUUCUUUAAUUUUCUUGUAUUUUGAGAAUAAGGAUUAGAAAACUCAAAUAUGAAUGCUCUUAAAUGACAAUUCUAUGAUGGAUAUGGAUAAAAGAACACACACUCACAUUUUCAUUGUAAAUAUAACAUAAACAAAUUAAUAUAAUGUAA
rnacentral:lncRNA from 1 species